CUGGAAAUUUCCGGUCUCUCGCUAAUUUUCCUGCUUGGAAGCGGGUUAAAAUAGUAUGAAAAGGACCGACCAAAGGCAUGGGUAUGGAAGGAAACCUUCUUGAUGUUCACUUUAAUUUCGAUGGUACUUUGAUAAUCUAUGCUCAAAGAGGCUACUUUCCAAGAGAUAAAUACAGGAAGAGGUGCUUUCUGCUUAGUCCUGGCACCAAAAGUUUUCGAUUGCAAAUCUGGAAAUUGAAUUCAACUACUGAGUUAUGAUGUGUACAAAGCUUGCCGUAAGCUCUUUUUUUUUUUUUUUUUUUUUAAUAUGGGGCUACUCUGUGGAAUAGUUCAAUUAGUAAUCUUAACAAUCCCCUUUAGCAAAGUGUGUGUAGAUGCUGACUGGAUUUCAUUUCAUUCUUUACUGUGCACUGGAGAGAUGUCAGAAGCCUUUUCCACAAGGGCUCUUCUCCAAUUCUUGCUAACGAAACAAAUGAUAUUUUCAGUUUGGCAGCCAAAAUCUCUACUGCACAGGUUUAAUAAAGCUGGUGUGGAUAGCUAAUACAUUGGUUGUCAUUUCUCAGGCAAUUGCAUACACUUUAUUAAGUGAUCUGGUUGUAGCAUUUCCACUGGAAGAAGCCAAGAAAGUCUCUCAACCAUAUUUGGAUGCCCUUGGUGAUGAGUAUGCAGUUUGUUGUGAGGGCACAUCAUUUUUCCCCUUGCAGAGCUGCAUGAAUGACUCCUGCCAUUCUGACGCCAAAGCUUUCAAAAAAGAGGAGGUAUAAGUAACCCUGUGCACAUUUUGCUCGUGAUGGUGACGUCAUUAACUUUUAGUAACGCUCGGGGAUGUAGAGGCUGAUUUUAGAAAAUGGUUUACAAAGCUGUGGCAAACCUCAUAAUGGGCAACGUAUAAGUGCCCCAUCGGAGUUUGGCGCAUUGAUCUUUAAAAUAGUCUUUGCAUCUCUAGCAUUCUUCAGGUUUUUUUUUUUUUUCAAUCAUUGAAAUGGUUUGAAAUUUUGAAUCUUUUGAGUUUCAAGUUGACGCUAUUUUAUAUUUACAGAUGGCCCUUCAAUAUGAUUGACCCAAUGUAUCCCUAUCAAUUAUUUCUUAAGAUCAAUUGUUUUUAUAAUUCGUAGAUACGGAUGUAGAGAUCCGCACAAUGUUUUCUAUUAUCCAUAACUUG